GACGAACGCUGGCGGCGCGCUUAACACAUGCAAGUCGAGCGAAGCGGCGGACGGGUGAGUAACACGUGAGUAACCUGCCUUAGACCUUGGGAUAGCCUCGGGAAACCGGGAUUAAUACCAAAUGGUCUAAGAUGGACUCGCGUCCCAUUAGCUAGUUGGUGAGGUAACGGCCCACCAAGGCGACGCUGGGUAGCCGGCCUGAGAGGGUGAGCGGCGACAUUGGAACUGAGAAACGGUCCAGAUGCGACGGGAGGCAGCAGUGGUGAAUAUAGCACAAUGGAGGGAACUCUGAUGCAGCGAGGCCGCGUGAACGAAGAAGGCUUUCGAGUCGUAAAGUUCUUUUAUAUGGGAAGCGGUACCAUAAGAAAAAGCCCCGGCUAACUACGUGCCAGCCGCCGCGGUAAUUC
rnacentral:rRNA from 1 species